rnacentral:rRNA from 1 species
CGUGGGGGAUGACGGCCUUCGGGUUGUAAACCCCUUUCAGCAGGGACGAAAAUGACGGUACCUGCAGAAGAAGCCCCGGCCAACUACGUGCCAGCAGCCGCGGUAACACGUAGGGGGCAAGCGUUGUCCGGAUUUAUUGGGCGUAAAGAGCUCGUAGGCGGUUGCGUAAGUCGGAUGUUAAAACUCAGGGCUCAACCCGGAGACGCCAUCCGAAACUGCGCUGACUAGAGUCCGGUAGGGGAGCAUGGAAUUCCUGGUGUAGCGGUGAAAUGCGCAGAUAUCAGGAGGAACACCAGUGGCGAAGGCGGUGCUCUGGGCCGGUACUGACGCUGAGGAGCGAAAGCGUGGGUAGCGAACAGGAUUAGAUACCCUGGUAGUCCACGCCGUAAACGUUGGGCACUAGGUGUGGGACCUCCUUAACGGGUUCCGUGCCGUAGCUAACGCAUUAAGUGCCCCGCCUGGGGAGUACGGCCGCAAGGCUAAAACUCAAAGGAAUUG